rnacentral:rRNA from 1 species
AGUGAACGCUGGCGGUAGGCCUAACACAUGCAAGUCGAACGGCAGCACAGUAAGAGCUUGCUCUUACGGGUGGCGAGUGGCGGACGGGUGAGGAAUACAUCGGAAUCUACUUUUUCGUGGGGGAUAACGUAGGGAAACUUACGCUAAUACCGCAUACGACCUACGGGUGAAAGCGGGGGAUCUUCGGACCUUGCGCGAUUGAAUGAGCCGAUGUCGGAUUAGCUAGUUGGCGGGGUAAAGGCCCACCAAGGCGACGAUCCGUAGCUGGUCUGAGAGGAUGAUCAGCCACACUGGAACUGAGACACGGUCCAGACUCCUACGGGAGGCAGCAGUGGGAAUAUUGGACAAUGGGCGCAAGCCUGAUCCAGCCAUACCGCGUGGGUGAAGAAGGCCUUCGGGUUGUAAAGCCCUUUUGUUGGGAAAGAAAAGCAGCAGGUUAAUACCCCGCUGUUCUGACGGUACCCAAAGAAUAAGCACCGGCUAACUUCGUG